rnacentral:tRNA from 1 species
GCGCAAGUAGCUCAAUGGUAGAGCGUUGUCUUCCCAAGACAAAGACGGUGGUUCGAUUCCAUCUUUGCGCUCA